UUGCCAAGCCGUAAGGUGGAGCUAAUCCCUUAAAGCUACUCUCAGUUCGGAUUGUAGGCUGAAACUCGCCUACAUGAAGCUGGAGUUACUAGUAAUCGCAGAUCAGAAUGCUGCGGUGAAUGCGUUCCCGGGUCUUGUACACACCGCCCGUCACACCACGGGAGUUGGAGACGCCCGAAGCCGAUUAUCUAACCUUUUGGAAGAAGUCGUCGAAGGUGGAAUCAAUAACUGGGGUGAAGUCGUAACAAGGUAGCCGUAUCGGAAGGUGCGGCUGGAUCACCUCCUUU
rnacentral:rRNA from 1 species